GACGGGUAUCCGGCCUGAGAGGGUGAACGGACACACUGGAACUGAGACACGGUCCAGACUCCUACGGGAGGCAGCAGUAGGGAAUAUUGCUCAAUGGGGGAAACCCUGAAGCAGCAACACCGCGUGGAGGAUGAAGGUUUUCGGAUUGUAAACUCCUUUUGUUAGAGAAGAUAAUGACGGUAUCUAACGAAUAAGCACCGGCUAACUCCGUGCCAGCAGCCGCGGUAAUACGGAGGGUGCAAGCGUUACUCGGAAUCACUGGGCGUAAAGAGCGCGUAGGCGGGAUAGCAAGUCAGAUGUGAAAUCCUAUGGCUUAACCAUAGAACUGCAUUUGAAACUGUUAUUCUA
rnacentral:rRNA from 1 species